UACCUUACGUUUCCUCGGCGGGUCCGCCCGCCGAUUGGACAAUUCAAACCAUUUGCAGUUGCAAUCAGCGUCUGAAAAAAACUUAAUAGUUACAACUUUCAACAACGGAUCUCUUGGUUCUGGCAUCGAUGAAGAACGCAGCGAAAUGCGAUAAGUAGUGUGAAUUGCAGAAUUCAGUGAAUCAUCGAAUCUUUGAACGCACAUUGCGCCCCAUGGUAUUCCAUGGGGCAUGCCUGUUCGAGCGUCAUUUGUACCUUCAAGCUCUGCUUGGUGUUGGGUGUUUGUCUCGCCUCUGCGUGUAGACUCGCCUCAAAACAAUUGGCAGCCGGCGUAUUGAUUUCGGAGCGCAGUACAUCUCGCGCUUUGCACUCAUAACGACGACGUCCAAAAGUACAUUUUUACACUCUUGACCUCGGAUCAGGUAGGGAUACCCGCUGAACUUAAGCAUAUCAAUAAGCGGAGGAAAAGAAACCAACAGGGAUUGCCCUAGUAACGGCGAGUGAAGCGGCAACAGCUCAAAUUUGAAAUCUGGCGUCUUCGGCGUCCGAGUUGUAAUUUGCAGAGGGCGCUUUGGCAUUGGCAGCGGUCCAAGUUCCUUGGAACAGGACGUCACAGAGGGUGAGAAUCCCGUACGUGGUCGCUAGCCUUUACCGUGUAAAGCCCCUUCGACGAGUCGAGUUGUUUGGGAAUGCAGCUCUAAAUGGGAGGUAAAUUUCUUCUAAAGCUAAAUACUGGCCAGAGACCGAUAGCGCACAAGUAGAGUGAUCGAAAGAUGAAAAGCACUUUGGAAAGAGAGUUAAAAAGCACGUGAAAUUGUUGAAAGGGAAGCGCUUGCAGCCAGACUUGCCUGUAGUUGCUCAUCCGGGUUUCUACCCGGUGCACUCUUCUAUAGGCAGGCCAGCAUCAGUUUGGGCGGUUGGAUAAAGGUCUCUGUCAUGUA
rnacentral:rRNA from 1 species